AAGUCCCCCAGCAGAACAAGGGAGUCCCCAGGGGGAGCACCCUCCAAUACCCCCUCUAAGGACUCCAAGAAGGGUGGGUAAUCUGAACUGUUGUUCGGCCCGUAAGCACAAACAACAGUCAGGACC